AUAAUAGGAAUCAAUCAGAAGAGUAGUAAGUGGAUAAUUUUUAGAGAGUUUGUGGUUGGUGUAAACAAACAAGAGUCGCUUAUGAAUGGACUGAGUGAAUAGAAUCUGAAUAAAUAAGGAUUCGGCUAGCAGGCCUUAUGUGCAAAAAGAUGUAAGCUUAUUUAAUGCUUAUAAGUGAGGUGGCACCGUGUCCUUGACGCCCUCGCA
rnacentral:ncRNA from 1 species